rnacentral:rRNA from 1 species
UUUAUUUUGAGAGUUUGAUCCUGGCUCAGGAUGAACGCUGGCGGCGUGCUUAACACAUGCAAGUCGAGCGAAGCACUUAAGAAAGAUUCUUCGGAUG